GGUUAUUACUAAGGUUAUUAGCCUUAGUAGAGGGUUAUUACUAAGGUUAUUAGCCUUAGUAGAGGGUUAUUACUAAGGUUAUUAGCCUUAGUAGAGGGUUAUUACUAAGGUUAUUAGCCUUAGUAGAGGGUUAUUUACUAAGGUUAUUAGCCUUAGUAGAGGGUUAUUACUAAGGUUAUUAACUAAGGUUAUUAGCCUUAGUAGAGGGUUAUUAACUAAGGUUAUUAGCCUUAGUAGAGGGUUAUUAACUGACUGGUGGGGGUGUGGCGGUACCUUGACGGUGCUGUCUACGGCUCCAGAGAACAGGCGCCCCCUGCUGACGGCCAGGGCAGUUACACUCCCCUGGUGUCUGAGGAGGGUCUGGGUACAGAUCAUGUUGUCCAUGCUCCACACCUGUUAACACACACAGGCAGCGUUACUGUAAACACACACACACACACACACAGUU
rnacentral:lncRNA from 1 species